AGAGUUUGAUCCUGGCUCAGAUUGAACGCUGGCGGUAUGCUUUACACAUGCAAGUCGAACGGGCUUGGGGGCUUGCUCCCGGGUUAGUGGCGAACGGGUGAGUAAUAUAUCGGAACAUAUCCGGAAGUGGGGGAUAACGUAGCGAAAGUUACGCUAAUACCGCAUAUGCCCUGAGGGGGAAAGGGGGGGAUCGCAAGACCUCUCGCUUUCGGAGUGGCCGAUACCGGAUUAGCUAGAUGGUGAGGUAAAGGCUCACCAUGGCGACGAUCCGUAGCGGGUCUGAGAGGACGACCCGCCACACUGAACUGAGACACGCC
rnacentral:rRNA from 1 species